GGGAAGGUGGCUCAGUGGUAGAGUGCUUGUCUUGCAUGCAUGAGUUUCUGGGUUUAAUUCCUCAGCACCCCA
rfam:Dipodomys ordii contig_62991, whole genome shotgun sequence.